rnacentral:tRNA from 1 species
CCCUUGGUGGUGGACGGGUUGACCACGUCGGUGAUCGCGGCGUUGUAGGCGGACUUGCCGCCGUUCGACCCGCCGCCACCGGUC